rnacentral:rRNA from 1 species
UACAGAGGGUGCAAGCGUUAAUCGGAAUUACUGGGCGUAAAGCGUGCGUAGACGGUUAUUUAAGUCAGGUGUGAAAGCCCCGGGCUCAACCUGGGAAUUGCAUUUGAGACUGAAUAGCUAGGGUGCGGAAGAGGGAAGCGGAAUUUCCGGUGUAGCGGUGAAAUGCGUAGAUAUCUGAAGGAACAUCAGUGGCGAAAGCGACUUCCUGGACCAAUACUGACGCUCAUGUGCGAAAGCGUGGGGAGCAAACAGG